CCUACGGGGGGCAGCAGUGAGGAAUAUUGGUCAAUGGCCGGAAGGCUGAACCAGCCAUGCCGCGUGAAGGUCAGUGCCCUAUGGGCGUUAAACUUCUUUUGUGCGGGAACAAUAAUGGUCACGUGUGGCCAGACGAGAGUACCGUACGAAUAAGCAUCGGCUAACUCCGUGCCAGCAGCCGCGGUAAUACGGGGGAUGCAAGCGUUAUCCGGAUUUAUUGGGUUGAAAGGGUGCGUAGGCUGUGAGGUAAGUCAGCGGUGAAAUGCCCCCGCUCAACGGGGUGAAGUGCCAUUGAUACUGCCUGGCUGGAAUGCGGAUGCCGUGGGAGGAAUGUGUGGUGUAGCGGUGAAAUGCAUAGAUAUCACACAGAACACCGAUUGCGAAGGCAUCUCACGAAUCCGCGAUUGACGCUGAUGCACGAAAGCGUGGGUAUCAAACAGGAUUAGAUACCCGUGUAGUC
rnacentral:rRNA from 1 species